rnacentral:antisense_RNA from 2 species
CUUCAGCGACCCCAGCCACAGCGGUCGAUCGCGGUCCUGGCCGUAGGUCGCCAGCAGCGCCUGGGCCUC